rnacentral:tRNA from 1 species
AGCCGAUUGGUGUAGUGGUAGCACGCCAGACUCUGACUCUGGAGAUAUAGGUCCGAUUCCUGUAUUGGCUG